GUCAUCGCGCUUGGUUGAA
rnacentral:snRNA from 1 species